GAUGAACGCUGGCGGCGUGCUUAACACAUGCCAGUCGAACGGAAAGGCUCCUGCUUGCCGGGGUACUCGAGUGGCGAACGGGUGAGUAACACGUGGGUGAUCUGCCCUGCACUUCGGGAUAAGCCUGGGAAACUGGGUCUAAUACCGGAUAGGACCACAUUUUGGAUGGUGUGGUGGAAAGUUUUUCGGUGUGGGAUGAGCUCGCGGCCUAUCAGCUUGUUGGUGGGGUAAUGGCCUACCAAGGCGUCGACGGGUAGCCGGCCUGAGAGGGUGUACGGCCACAUUGGGACUGAGAUACGGCCCAGACUCCUACGGGAGGCAGCAGUGGGGAAUAUUGCACAAUGGGCGCAAGCCUGAUGCAGCGACGCCGCGUGGGGGAUGACGGCCUUCGGGUUGUAAACUCCUUUCGCUAGGGACGAAGCGCAAGUGACGGUACCUGGAGAAGAAGCGCCGGCUAACUACGUG
rnacentral:rRNA from 1 species